AGCCUGCGGCUUAAUUUGACUCAACACGGGAAAUCUCACCAGGCCCGGACACCGGAAGGAUUGACAGAUUAACAGCUCUUUCUUGAUUCGGUGGGUGGUGGUGCAUGGCCGUUCUUAGUUGGUGGAGCGAUUUGUCUGGUUAAUUCCGGUAACGAACGAGACUCUAGCCUGCUAAAUAGGCGUCGUUAUUUAGGUGUGCGCGGCCUCGUGUCGCGCAACUCACUGACGACGUAUUAAAAUUCUUCUUAGAGGGACCGGCGUCUUCGAGCCGCACGAGAUUGAGCAAUAACAGGUCUGUGAUGCCCUUAGAUGUCCUGGGCCGCACGCGCGCUACACUGAAGGAAUCAGCAUGUUCUCCCUGGCCUAGAGGCCCGGGCAACCCGCUGAAACUCCUUCGUGCUGGGGAUUGGGGUUUGCAAUUAUCCCCCAUAAACGAGGAAUUCCUAGUAAGCGCGAGUCAUAAGCUCGCGUUGAUUACGUCCCUGCCCUUUGUACACACCGCCCGUCGCUACUACCGAUUGA
rnacentral:rRNA from 1 species